rnacentral:lncRNA from 1 species
ACUUGAGCAAGGUUUUAUUCCUUAGAACAUGUCAAAAGUGGCGUUAGUCCUCAAGAGAUCUGCAGAAGCCAAAGAGUUAUAUCCCAGGAGGAAAGCAGACACAGUGGGAUUCAUUAAACAGCCCACUCAGGCACUCGCUUUAUGGAGACAUCAAAGACAUCGACAGCAAUGCUGAAAGGUUUGAUGCCGAAUGUUCACAAGGAACCAAAAAUUCUUUGCCAGGGGGCCUGAACCCUUUAAUAACUUCAGUAUCUGUAUAUAUAGACUGUAGAGGUGCGUAGUUUGAAGGAUGC